rnacentral:ncRNA from 1 species
AUGCAAGUCUCCGCACCCCUGUGAAAACGCCCUUAAAGCCCCGAUAGGAAAAAGGAGCCGGUAUCAGGCACACACUACGCCCAAGACACCUAGCUACGCCACACCCACAAGGGAACUCAGCAGUGAUUAACAUUGACUAUAAGCGCCAGCUUGACUCAGUUAUGGUAAAUAGAGCCGGCUAAUCUGGUGCCAGCCGCCGCGGUUACACCACGUGGCUCAAAUUGAUCUCCAUCGGCGUAAAGCGUGAUUAAAGUCACUUUUAUACUAGAGUUGUACUAAAAUUAAGCCGUGACACGCUUAUUACUUAAGAAACACAAAACGAAGGUUACUCCAACUACACCAACUUGAAUUCACGACAGCCAGAACACAAACUGGGAUUAGAUACCCCACUAUGUCCGGCCGUAAACUUUAACUUACAUACCCAUCGCCUGGGAACUACGAGCCAAGCUUAAAACCCAAGGGACUUGACGGUACCCCACAUCCCCCUAGAGGAGCCUGUCCUAUAAUCGAUAACCCCCGCUUUACCUCACCAUUUUUAGUUAAUCAGCCUGUAUACCUCCGUCGUCAGCUUACCACGUGAGUGAAUUAUAGUGAGCUUAAUGACACUCAGCCAACACGUCAGGUCAAGGUGCAGCAAAUAAAAUGGAAAGAGAUGGGCUACACUUUCUAGAAUAGAAAACACAAAAGACUACCUAUGAAACCUAGUCAGAAGGCGGAUUUAGAAGUAAAAAGAAACCAGAAUGUUCUUUUUAACACGGCCCUGAGGUGCGUACACACCGCCCGUCACCCUCCUCAAAGCUAACAAUCAAUACCUAACCCUAAAUACGCGCUACAGAANNGCAAGUCGUAACAUGGUAAGUAUACNGGAAGGUGUGCUU